GAUGAAGAACGUAGCGAAAUGCGAUAAGUAAUGUGAAUUGCAGAAUUCAGUGAAUCAUCGAAUCUUUGAACGCACAUUGCGCCCGCCAGCAUUCUGGCGGGCAUGCCUGUUCGAGCGUCAUUUCAACCCUCGAGCCCCCCCGGGGGCCUCGGUGUUGGGGGACGGCACACCAGCCGCCCCCGAAAUGCAGUGGCGACCCCGCCGCAGCCUCCCCUGCGUAGUAGCACACACCUCGCACCGGAGCGCGGAGGCGGUCACGCCGUAAAACGCCCAACUUCUGAACGUUGACCUCGAAUCAGGUAGGACUACCCGCUGAACUUAAGCAUAUCAAUAAGCGGAGGA
rnacentral:misc_RNA from 1 species